rnacentral:lncRNA from 1 species
UCUCCCAAAAGAAAAUACUAAAACUUUGGUUCCUUAUAAUUUUCUCAUUUUUAUUUUUUGCAACACACACACGCGCGCGCGCACGCGCGCACUCAAUUUGCAUGUUUUUUAUUUAUUGGGGACAAAAUACCAUGAUGUGUGUGGAGAUCAGACAAUACCACUUGGGAGUUCCCACAGUGUAAAUCCUGUUGAUGACUCAGGUUGUCAGUUUGGUGGCAAGCUAAGCGCCUUUUACCCACUGAGCACCAGCUCUCCUUGCUUUCUUUGUUUAUUUGUUUGGUUUUGGUUUUGGUGUUUGAGGCAGGGUCUCUCUGUGUAGAUAGGUGGACUUCAGGUUUGAGAUGUUCUCCUUGCCUUAUCUCCUGAGUACUGAGAUCACAGGUAUGAGCCACUCCCUUCCUUAUGUUUUAUUUUCCUUCUCUGUGGAAUUUUUAGUGUUCUACAUUGUAUAAUUUUUAUUAUUAUUUGUGUAUUUCUUUUAUCCUUCCUGAACCGUAAGUUUCUAAAGACUUGUAAUUGGUAGGUUUUUGCAUGUUCUUUGUUGUUACUUUGCCUGGUUUAUUCUGUGUAUGUUUUACAACUCCUUAGAAUAGCCCAAAACAACAUUAAUACUUGAAGACAGAUGGGGCCAAGCAUGAUGUCUCGGUAGGUAAAUGUGCUAGCUGUCAAGCUCAACACGUUGAACUUAGUACCCAAGAUCCACACGGUGGAAGGAGAGUAUUGACCUCUGCCAGUUGUCCUCUGACUGCUGGUCACAUAUGCACACCAUGGUAUUCAUCACCAAGACCACUACCCCAAUAAAUAAAUAAAUAAUAAAUAAAUAAAUGAGUGAGUGAGUGAGUGAGUAAGUGAGUGAAUGAAGAAAUGUGUAAAAAUGCCAGUUUUUUCUCCUGGUUACUUAAUUCCCAGAAAUAACGACUCUAAGACUAUUUAUUAAUAAACACCUAGGGGUUGGGGAUUUGGCUCAGUGGUAGAGCACUUGCCUAGCAAGCGCAAGGCCCUGGGUUCGGUCCCCAGCUCCGAAA